UUACUUCUGGACUUCGUAAAAGAUUUAGUAUGCAUUUCUAUCCACACCCAUCUCUUCCCCCCACUUUUAACCCCCACAGGAAGAGGAUUAGACUGUAAGGCACGACUGUCCAAUCCGUAGCCCUCCAGACUAUUUUGGACUACAGUCACCAUCAGGCCUAUUCAGCAUGGCUAAUGGUGAGGGAUGGUGGGAGCUGUGGACCAACUUCAUCUACAAAGCCAUGAGUUGUCCAUCUUUCUUCUAAAGCCAUGACCAUAUAGAUGGUCUUCUGGAACAAAGAGCAUUAUCUUGUAAAUCAAGACUGAUCUGAAAUACUACUCCAACCACCACCCUCUUCGUCGCCAUACUUGGUCACAAUGGUGGGCUUGUCUGAAACUGGAGGUGUGGCCUCUUUCCAUGUGAGUGAUCAGUCCUCCUCCCUAUUGCUUUGUUGCCUAAAUACUGACCACGGCAUCUGCAGCAGAGUACAGAAUAUGCCACCGUCGCUGCCUAUGUGUCUUGUGAAUGGAGGUGUCCAUUGCUGAAUCAACCUAACAGGCAGGGUCUGGAAAAGUUACUCUUUUGGACCACAACGCUGACAGUUCCUACCACCUGGGGAUUGUGGGAGUUGUAGUCCCACCUGCAAACCCUUCUGAAGCUCUGCUAACCAGCUACUUGUGCUAACAUGCAUUCCUGACAGACAGCGCUUUGUAAUAAAACAUGUGGUCUGAUUGUUCCUUUAAAUGAA
rnacentral:lncRNA from 1 species